rnacentral:rRNA from 1 species
AUUGAACGCUGGCGGAAUGCUUUACACAUGCAAGUCGAACGGCAGCACGGGGCAACCUGGUGGCGAGUGGCGAACGGGUGAGUAAUAUAUCGGAACGUGCCCAAUCGUGGGGGAUAACGUAGCGAAGUUACGCUAAUACCGCAUACGAUCUACGGAUGAAAGCGGGGGAUCGCAAGACCUCGCGCGAAUGGAGCGGCCGAUAUCAGAUUAGGUAGUUGGUGGGGUAAAGGCUCACCAAGCCAACGAUCUGUAGCUGGUCUGAGAGGACGACCAGCCACACUGGAACUGAGACACGGUCCAGACUCCUACGGGAGGCAGCAGUGGGGAAUUUUGGACAAUGGGCGCAAGCCUGAUCCGGCCAUUCCGCGUGCAGGAUGAAGGCC